AGUGAACGCUGGCGGUAGGCCUAACACAUGCAAGUAGAACGGCAGCACAGUAAGAGCUCGCUCUUACGGGUGGCGAGUGGCGGACGGGUGAGGCAUACAUAGGAAUCUACUUUUUCGGGGGGGAUAACGUAGAGCGACAUAUGCUACUACCGCAUACGACCUACCGGUGGACGCAGGGGAUCUUGGGACCUUGCGCGAAUGAAUGAGCCGAUGUCGGAUUAGUUAGUUGGCGGGGUAAAGGCCGGCCAAGCCAACGUACGGUAGCUGGUCUGAAAGGAUGAUCACCCACAUGGGAACUGAGACACGGCCCAGACUCCUACGGGAGGCGCCAGAGGGGAAUAUUGGACAAUGGGCGCAAGCCUGACCCAGCCAGACCGCGUGGGUGAAGAAGGCCUUCGGGUGGUAAAGCCCUUUUGUUGGGAAAGAAAAGCAGCAGGUUAAUACCCCGCUGUUCUGACGGUACCCAAAGAAUAAGCACCGGCUAACUUCGUG
rnacentral:rRNA from 1 species